AAAAAAUAUGUAAAACUCGCUAAGAAGAUGUAAAGUCGCUAAGCAAUUUAGAAUUCAUGCAAGACUGGCCAAAAUUAGAUCGAGAUUGACUUCGAUUUCCUUUACCGAAGAAAGACAAAUCUCCUGUUCGAUAGGUGGAACAGCUUUAAGGACAAACUUCUGAUAUAUUUCAAACGGCACAUCCACAACGAAGACUGCAAGCGACAACUACUUGAUGUAGAACGCCAACGUUGAUGCCCAGGAUUACUUGACCCUUAUUUUGCUUAAUGCCGCCGACAUCUCGGAUCUUGAAUCAAAACGGGAAAAGGAACCAAAAACCGACA